UCUCUCUCUCACCGACUGUCCCUCUCUUGCCGAUUGUCUCUCAUAAAAUCUCUGACACUGAAGAAAAAUAUCAGUUACCUUUUUCCUCUCAUCAAAUCUCUGGCACCUAUUAAUGGGUUGACACAUUGAAGGUUGAGUUUACCGGUUCUGGUGAAACAAGUGUUUUAUUCCAGAGAGAAUGAAACAUCUAAUUGGUAUGUUGCUUUGCAAGUGUCACCAAGAGAUUUUGACACGUUAUAUACGGAAGAAGAUACUUCUCACCGGGCAACUAUUCCUUUAGAUGUAGCACAACUAAAAGACAAUCAUAAUGAGGAUGAGAAUUAUGCAAGAAUAGAUGUCGAAGGCAUAUUAUGUGACACUUUUAUUAAUUAGUUUGAUUUCUGUACUCUUGAAGUGAUUUGCUCUAAGCCAAUUCACAGUAAUAUACGUUAUACGAUGGACGCAGCUCAGUCAACGAAGCAAGCUUCAAAAAGUUCAAAAUGUCAAAGAGUUGCAAUUACCGUUACAAUUCGAGAGACCAGUAAAAGACUAAGACUUUCGAGUGAACCAGAAGAUACUGUAUCAACUCCAAUUAUUAAUGAGCAAGAUGUGUCGCCGACAAAUGUAGAUGUUCCAAAAAAGAAAAGGGGUCCAACCCAAGUGAAGGCAGUUCCUGAAAAUAUGAAUUAUAAGAUGGAGCUUGAAUUUAAUGAAUUCGGACAAGUAAUUGGCACUAACUCUGAUAAAUUUGCUAGCAUGGCUGCAGCCAUAGUACGAGAGUAUGUGCCAGUUGUAUUUAAGGAUUUGUAAUCGGUAAGUAAUACUAAAAAAAUGGAACUUUGGACUUUCAUACAGGUACGUUGAUAAAUACGAUAACUUUAAUUUCUUUAUCUAUUUCCUUCCUAGUGACAUCAUUUCUUAUCUUUGUACACAAAAUUCAGUAAAUGUUCAAUGUGAGUGAUUUCCAUUAAAAAUGACAUUUCAGGAAAUGGGAAAGUACAAGAGGACAUACAAAUCAAGAUUGAGAAAACAAAUCAGAAUUCAAACAGCAUCAUCUGUGAAUAGAACACGCACUAUUUUCCUUCUUAGACCAAAGAAUGUAGCAUGGAAGAAGUUCGUAGAAGAUACUCUUUCUACUAACUUUCAAGAAAAAAGUGCCAAGUUCAGCAAAAUGAGAGCUAAUCAGAAGCUUCUACACACUGUGGGUCGAAAGGGUUAUCAAUGUACAACUUACGAUUUGAAAAAAAACUAUCCAGACAUGAAAGGGUUAAGAACUAGAGUUUAGACUUAUGGACAUCUGAGAAGGGAUGAAAAACCUAUAGAUGAAGCUGUUGCUGACACUAUGGUAUGUGCAUUAUACCUGAAUUUUGUCAAUAAUAAUUAAACUUAUUAUGUGUAUCAACUUGCUAAUAUAAAAAUUAAGUUCCAGAAGUGCAGAAAAAGAUAGAAGCUUGGGUUCAAUCUACAAAUGCAGUCAGAAAGGGUUGGAGCACUAGAAGAAAAAGUUGAAGCACUUCUUAAGUUAUCUCAAGUUAUAUACUUUAUCAUUAUAUAUAAUAUGAUAAAAUAGCUUUACAUAACUACGUAGAAUAACUUUUUAAUUAUGUAAUUAUUUUACAAAGUCAAAAUAAGAAUGUAGAUGACAUGAGUUCACAUGCUUUUACUCCUCAAGUUAUGUAUCUUAUAUUAUUUAUUGUUUAUUCAAUAUAAAUUCAGACUAUAUGGUAUACUAAUUUCAAAGGGAAUAUGUUCAUUUUACUGUGAAUUUGUAGUCCCAAUAAGGAAGUGGUAUCCAGGGAGGGACUACGCAUUUGGAAAAUUCAAGUUGUCAAUUAUUGCAUUCGUACCAGUAUGAUGAGGAAGAAAUCAUAGCGGAAGGGAAAAUUGCAUCAACCGACCCAAACACAAAGGUACACCACAUGCCACUUGGACGAGAUUGUUGGAAGGUUUGGGUUGAAGAAGUGUAUAUGGGUCAUUUGAGCUUAUAUAGGCCUACUGAUGAAUUUCAAGUUCUUGAUGAAGUCAUGGGAAGUGCUAUUGCUUGGCCAAAGAAUAGUGUUAAACUCAUUUGACGAAGUUUUAUGGAGUCAAGCUGAAUUAAGAGAAGAAUUUGAAAUUGAGUUCUCUUGUGCAUAUGUCUUCUUGGACCUCAUUUAUGUAAGCAGCUUGUUUUCAGAUGUCUUGUGUGAAGUUUUGGUUAAAUGGGUGGAGCCGAUUGUGAGAGUAAUAUUUGCCUUCCAGUGUUUGGCAUUAGCUUUUCGAAUGCAAAUCUUCUAGUUGACUCAUUGUGUAUAUUUUUGACAUAUUUGCUAGUUUUUUGGCUCUAGUUUUAUUGUGUUUUGAAGAAGUAAUUGUACGUGUUUUAUAUUUAUUGUG